AAGGAAGCCCAAAAACGAAUUCAACCCUUUCAAAAGCCCUUACAAUCCGCAUCCCAAAUUUUUGCACUAUAAAAAACCGAAAACCCUAAUUUCGCAUUUCUUAACAAAACUUCCUGUUUUUUUCUCUUUGGGACCUUUUCAGAUUAGGGUUUUGAGUUUGCCGUCCUUCGUCAUCUACUCACCAUGAGAGCCAAGUGGAAGAAGAAGCGUAUGAGGAGAUUGAAGAGGAAGCGCCGAAAGAUGAGACAGAGAUCUAAAUAGAAGAUGAUCUUUGACCGCCAUGAUUACUUCUAGUUUUAUCCUUUACUGUUUCGUUUGAUCUUAGUUCGUCAAUUGAAUAGCUAUAUCCAUGGCUAUCGGACUUUAUUAGGUACUAAGUUUUUGUGUCAUGUUAUUCAUACAUUUUGAUAAACAUGAAUUUUGGAGUACUAUAUGUGGAUUAAUUUACAUAAUUUUGCUUUAUUUUGCUCAA